GCGCUGCGCGGGGACUGAGUGGGCCGGCGAAGGCCGCCGUGGGUCGCCCGGUGCCCCGGCCUUUCUCACGGAGCCUCCCCCGGCCCUCGUGCUGGGGGGCACCCCUGGUCCUCUGCGGCCCAGCGCGAGCCGCGGGGCACCUGCCGCGUUUGCUCCGGGGGCGGCCUGGAGCCCCGGCUGUCGCUCUCCCGGCGUCCCGGUGAGGGGCACCGCUGGCGGCCGACCUGGCGAGGACCCCCCCCCCCCCGCCGCGGGGGCGGCGCGCCUGCCCCUAAAGGUCACUGCCGGCGGAGGUGCCCCCGGCUGCGCGGCGGGGGCGCGGCGACGCGGGGUCCCGACGUCCAGCCCCGGGGGCGCGGCUCCGGCGGCCCCGCCCGCUCGCCGGCGCGGGACGUGCCGUGGCCUUCGUGCCGGGCGGCCGCGCGCGUCCGUGCCGCGAGCCGCAGUCGGCUGGCCUUGCGCGCGUGUGGCUUUUCCGGUGGCGCUCGCGCGGAGCGGUCGUCCGGCAGCGCGCUGUCCCGUCAGCCUCGCGUCCCCGCGCUCCGUCCGCGCUGUCCCGAGCGCUAGGGUUUCUCCGUAGUUUGGGGCCGAGCAGUGUUGCGUUGCGAUAGACACGGCUCCGUCGCCCACAGCCUGGUUGUCCGCUCACGGGUCGGUGGGCGUUUGGGUCGCUGCCGGGUCCGGGCCGCGGGGGGAAGGGCUGUCUGAGCCGGUGUCUGGCCCCUGACGCGCGGAUCUCGGCGGCCGCGCUCGUGCGCUCCCUUCGGUUUGCUUCGUAACUUGCCCUUUUCUCGAGCUGACUCGGUUGUGUUCGUACCUGCGACCUGUGCAAUCCGUGUUCGCCGACCGUUCGAGGGACGGGCCGGGCCGUUGGGCUGUUGGCAGUGAUGCCUCUGGGGAGUCCGAGGUUACAGAGAGAUUUUCAGGAUCCCGUCUAGCCUUUCCCGGAGCGACCGCGCCAGUCUGCAUUCCCGCCGACAUCCAUGCACUUGCCGUCUCAUCUGUGUGACAAAGGCCCUUCUAACAGACAUGGGGUGGUAACUCACUGUGGUUUUAAUAAUGCGUGCCCGUAAUGCUUAGCGACACAAAACAGCUUUUCGUGUACCUGCUGGCCUUUUGUAUAUGUUCUUUGGAGAAGUGUCUCUUCAGUUCUUUGCCCGUUUUUUAAUUGGGUUUUUUGUUUCCAUGCUGUUUGUUGAGUUGCGUGAGUUCUUUAUAUGUUUUGGAUAUUAACCCCUUAUCAGGCAUAUGGUUUGCAAUCUUUAUCCCCAUUCCAUAGAUUGUCUUUUCACUUCAUUUUGCUACGCACAAGCUUUAGUGUGAUGUAGUCCCACUUAUUUUUUAUUUUGUUGCUUAUGCUUUCAGUGUUACAGCCAAAAAUCAUCAUGAAGACGGUGUCAAGGAGUUUUAUUCCUGUUUUCCUCUAGGAAUUUCAUGACCUCAGGUCUUACGUUUAAGUCGUUAAUCAAUUCUGAGUUAAUUUUUUGAGUGGUGUACGAUCAGGGUCCAGUUUCAUUCUUUUCCAUGUGAAUAUCCAGUUAUCCCAGCACCAUUUGUUGAAGAGACUGUCUUCUCCAUUGAGUGUUCUUUAAAGAAGAAGAAGAAGAAGAAGAAGAACUCCUCUUACACAACUACAACUGCUUCUUGCAGACCUAAGGAAGAGGAGCCCACCACACCUGGACGUUUGACUGGAUAGGAUCUCACUUACGUCUAUGGAAUUCUCUGGGGGGAAGAAAAUGGAAGACCGUAUGGCAAUUCUCAGACAACCUUCAGUGAGUUCUUCGACAUUCCAUCUGUAGCCCAGGCUUCUGUCUGCACAGGUUCCGGGUAGAGCCCACAAGCAGGCCCAGCUACAUAACCUGUGGGGCCCAGAGCAACAUGAAAAUGUGGAGGCCCUUGUUCAAAACGCCCUGAAUGCUCCGUGAGAGCCGACCUCUGAACCCUUCCAAGCACAAGGCUGUGCGCAAGCCGCCACAGGGACCACGCGUCCAGGAAGCGGGCACUGCGCACACCUGAGAAGCAAGUCACGCACCCGGUGGAGCUCAAGGUCUGCACAUCGUGGCGCGCCCCAUGCUCACGACAAGUCAUUCUCUCCUAUCCCGGAGACACAGCGAGGUCUUCCCACCGUCUUAGGCAGUCGGGAAUCGCCACCGCAGUCUCCUGCACCAGGCUUCGCUCUUGACCUCUCAAUCAGCCAGGUUCAAACAACUUUGGAGAGAAGGCUGUCAUCUGGGGAAUACUGAAGCCACAACAUGGAAGAGGAUGCCUGAGCCGUCACAUAGAAGACUGCCUGCCAAAUACCACAAUCAACUGUCAAAUGAAGGAUAAAUACAGUUCUGUAACGUUAAGCCAAUUGCCAUACCUUGAGUGUGUGUGUCAGGACAGGGCAAUGUACAGUAACAUACCACGCCCAAAUCUCAUUAUCUUAUAACACAAAUGUAUUUCUUGUUUAUGAUCUACCAUCAAGAUCACUAUACUCGUCAUAGCUAGCUACUCAGGGAGCUAGGCUGAUCAAACCCCCAUCUUGACUUACACCUCCAUGGUCACCACAACACUGGAAAAGAACCAUGGUAAAUUAUACACUGGCCUUUACGGUUUCUGUGCAUAUGUGAUAUAUCACUUCUUACGCUUCAGAGGAUAGCAAGUCAAAUGGUCAUGCCCAUCUUCAAAGACAGCAAAGGCCAUAUUGUUGGGUCCAACGUGUAAAGUUGUCAGCAGAGGAGAUGACUAUUAAACUUAGUCCAAAGCCCCCUCAACAUCUUUGCUUUUCUAAGCUUUGCUGGAAUACAUUAUACCAGAAGUAAUUUGCAACGUGUUGUCUGUUUAACUGUGGACCUAUGUAAUGCUUUUAUCCAUGUUUAAAAAGGAAGGAAUUUGAUCAAAGGCAAACCAUCUCAUGUAAUUAGCCAAGGAAAAAGCUUUCAGGACUUUCAAAUGUUAACUGUUUUUCUCACCUAGGAAAUGCUAUAAAGCUCAAAUUAGAUAGGAAUGACUUCUACAUUUUUUUGUUUUAAACACCUAAGAGAUGCUUGUCAGGUAUGUAUAUUGCCAUAUUCUUAAUGCUUUGAGUGACGACAUCCAAUUCUGCACCUGUACCCUCUGGUACUUUUUAACCUUCCUGGAAUCCAUUUUCUAAAAAAUAAAGACAUUUUUAGAUCUGGAAAAAAAAAAAAAAGUGAAUAACUUCAGUCCAACUAUGUGCCAAGAAUGGGGAAAUCCAGACAUAUUUGGCAAAUGAGAGCAAGGACUCCCAUGUGAAUACAGAUGUUGGUGCUUGGAAGAAGGAUGCUGCCAUAUAGAAACUCAAAAUUUGUACAGAACAAGUAGGCAGCAGACAGCAAAGAAGCAGAUAGGCAGGCUGGCGAGCUGGAGAGCCCUAGUGCACCUUGGUAACAUAUCUAGUAAAACUGUCCCCAGUGAGAAGUAGAAGGUAGACCAUGAGCCUAGUGAAACCCCAACUCUUUGAGAAGUAGAUGGAGGCAGAGUGAUAUGUGCUGGAUACAGUUAUCUACCUUUAGCAAGAUCUUACAACAAAGAGGGCAGCUCAGAUGAGAACUGGCUGGUGUUCUGGAAGAGGUAGAGGGUACUAAGGAAUUCUACAGAUCAAGGUCCUUUUAAAGUUAGAAAAGCUGACUGCUCCUAGACCCUAGGUCUAGGUAAUAACUUUUCCUAAAAGUUUUAAGGCCCUAAAAGGUCUCUCAGUUCAAAAAAAGUGAUACAACCUUUCUGCAGGGAUCAGAUUAAGGGUUUUUAACCUUGCCAUCCAAACUUACUGUUUCAGACAGCUUUCAGAUAGCCAUCAUUCACUGAGAGAGAGGGGCAUGUACAUGAGGGAGCAGAGAUGAAUCACUCUUGAGAAUUAUAUAUGGGAAAGAGCUGUGGGAUUUACAAUACAGGAACUAGAAGCACAUACCAGAGAGCCAAGUUUUUAAGGUAAUUAUAUUGUUAAAGAAACCAUACAACCCGAUUAAAAAAAGACUUUGAGCCUUAAAAAAAGCAAGCUCUCAGGGUGUCCCCAGCAGGAAGCCCAGAUAAGCUAUCUUUCUGGUUUACACGUUGCUGGACCAUGAGGAGCCACAUUUGAACCUGAAGGCAAGGACUGCAUCACACGGAGAUCUUAAAUCCCUCUUUCUCUAAUAAAGGACUGCCCCAAAUGUGCAUUCAUUGACUUCACGGCCCCGUUCCAGGCAAGAACAUGAGACACAUGACGGGAGUAACUUCCAUUAGUUUCAGGGAAUAAGGGUCUUAAUUUCACAUUUCAUAUUUGUUAGGUAUCUUUAGGGACUAAAGGUGCCAAGGUGAAAAGAUAUGUUAAAAACUUGGUCUCUUUUCCUUUAAACCUGUCCUGAGCUACCCUCUUGAGUAAGUUGAUGCCACCAAGUUUUUUGAUGCUCUAUUCUCAUAGCAACAGGCUGUGAUGUCAGAGGGUUAUUUUAUCACAGAAGUCAUCCAAAAAAAGAUGCUGGGCUGUGAAGCAGAAAGCUGUGGCUUAAUUGCAUGUUACUCAACUAUCACUUCACAUAAAUAGAAAUGGAAAUAGAAAAUAAAAGACUCAUACUAACAGUUUAUGUGGACAUUUUUAUUAAUAGUUGCCAUGGUAUGAAGCAGUUUUCCUUUUAGGACUUUAUUAUCAGUGGUUAUGUAUUUUUAAAAAUAAUAUUACAGGGCAUCCAGUUACAAGUCUCAACAAGACUAUUUCCUGCGAAUAAAGGUAAGCUAGGUCAGGCACACAGGAAAGAAAGCCGCAUCAAAGCAUUUAAAAGAACAAUCAGCAUCAUAGAGGAAAAUACUACCUAUUACUAUGUUUGGAAUUUUUUUUAUGGUGAGAACCUUAAAACUGGUUUCACUAGCAGAAUUGAUCACACUGAAAGGCACAAUUAAAAGCACUACCUUUGUUUAUCAGACAAAUGAUCAUCCCUUAACUUGGUUGGUGUAGGGAAGAUAGCACUCUGUACAGCCACCAAAACUCAUGUGGCCACGUAAAUUCGUGGAGUGGCCUCCGUGUGAGAUAGGGUGGGUACGUCUGGAGGGGCUCAAUUAGGCCACAGCAACAAAGAAGCCGAGAGCUCAGUUGUUGAAGACCUGUGUUUGCUUGCUCACCCUGCACGCUGGUCAGGGUCAGCUGGGGGCUCUGUUCUUCGUCAUUAAGGGCAGCCACUAUCGAGAACCGUGCUCAUUACUACUACGGUGGAACAAGGAAACAAGGCAGGUGAUUCUGUGUAGCCCAAGCAGUACUCUCUCCUAACUGGAAAGACGUCUGGAAGGUGUGCUCGUCCUUAGGACUGCUCUCAAACUUCUGCUCUCUCUCCUUUCACGCACAAGGCCCAGCUGCACUUACCUGACCCCUGCCGUUAGAUGUGACCCUGUGACUUGCUUGGCUAAUACAAUGUGAAUGGAAGUGACAGGCAGAAGCUUCCAGAGCCCAUGAGUGCUCUGCCACAUGGUUUCUUCACCAAGAUGUUUGUCAAUUAAACCUGUAUAUAAGCAAAUACAAACCAAAGCGCAAUAAAUACAAUUUUUACCAAGAACUAUAAAAACAUCCAUACUUCAAAAAAAAAAUUCUCCCCUGGCGCCUGGCUGGCUCAUUCAGUUAAGCAUCUGUCUUUGGCUCAGGUCAUGAUCUCAGAGUCCUGGGGUCCAGUCCCGCAUCUGGGCUCCCAACUCAGUGGGGAGUCUGCUUCUCUGUCUUCCUUUGCCCCUCCACCCCCUGUUCGUAUUCUCUCUCUCUC